GAAGAAAAGGUGGAAAAAGAUCACACAGAUUAGUGCCUAUGAUUUCUUUUUUCUUCUAUCGAUGAAGUGUUUUAUUUUUUAGCUUUUUUAUUCUCAUCA
rnacentral:ribozyme from 14 species